rnacentral:piRNA from 1 species
UGUUCCAGUGGGGCCCUUGAUAAACGUC